rnacentral:rRNA from 1 species
AUGCAGUCGAACGGUAACAGAAAGUGCUUGCACUUUGCUGACGAGUGGCGGACGGGUGAGUAAUGCUUAGGAAUUUGCCUUUUGGUGGGGGAUAACAGUUGGAAACGACUGCUAAUACCGCAUGAUACCUACGGGUCAAAGGGGGCUUCGGCUCUCGCCAAGAGAGAAGCCUAAGUGAGAUUAGUUAGUUGGUGGGGUAAUGGCCUACCAAGACGACGAUCUCUAGCUGUUCUGAGAGGAAGAUCAGCCACACUGGGACUGAGACACGGCCCAGACUCCUACGGGAGGCAGCAGUGGGGAAUAUUGCACAAUGGGGGAAACCCUGAUGCAGCCAUGCCGCGUGUGUGAAGAAGGCCUUCGGGUUGUAAAGCACUUUCAGUUGUGAGGAAAGGUUGGUAGUUAAUACCUGCCAGCUGUGACGUUAACAACAGAAGAAGCACCGGCUAACUCCGUGCCAGCAGCCGCGGUAAUACGGAGGGUGCGAGCGUUAAUCGGAAUUACUGGGCGUAAAGCGCACGCAGGCGGUUGAGUCAGUCAGAUGUGAAAGCCCCGGGCUUAACCUGGGAAUAGCAUUUGAUACUACUCGACUAGAGUUUUGGAGAGGGGAGUGGAAUUCCAGGUGUAGCGGUGAAAUGCGUAGAUAUCUGGAGGAACAUCAGUGGCGAAGGCGACUCCCUGGUCAAAGACUGACGCUCAUGUGCGAAAGUGUGGGUAGCGAACAGGAUUAGAUACCCUGGUAGU